UUCUCCAGUACUUAUUUUCUGUUGUGGAAUGACCAAGAGGAACAAACGGUUGGACGCAUUCCAAGUACAGGGCCUCGAUUGUUAUUUUUCGGUUGGUAAAUGCUGGACUUCUUCAGAUGUGGGAGAUAACAGUGUGGGGGCGGAAGAGAGAGGAGAGAGAGGCAGAGAGAUGUUCAAGCUUAACUUAAUGACCCUUUGCUGGUCUUAAUUUAGACCUUAGCUUAUUACAUAAAGCAUGCAAGGGCAGAGGUGUCAGGUUAGGUCUGCCAAUGCUGAUCUGGGCCUUGGAGAUUAGCGCUCACAGCUUGCCAAGGAUGAGGUAACCUUGGGAGAAAAAAAAAGAUAUCCUAAUUCAGGGAUGGCGAACCUUUUCGGCAACAAGUGUCCAAACCAGAACGCGCGUGGAUGUGCGUGCGUUCUUGUGUGGACUCGACCGAUUGUGUUACUUGGAACCCUAACAGUGUGCGUGUGUGUGCGCCGGAGCGCCGGAAACCUUAAGACCAGCUGGCCGACACGCGCAUGCCUGUUUUUUGGGCGUUUUCGGACUGUUUUGGGGGGGCCGUUUUCAGGCUGUUUUCUGGGCCGUUUUUGGGGAAGUUAUAUGCAAAUACCCCAGAGAUGGGAGUUCAUUUGCAUUCUUUUUUUUUUUUUGGGUGGAUGGGUGGGUGUCUGGUCUAUAAUUAGUUGUAUUUUCGAUGUUUCUCUACCACUGCCUUCAAAUCAACAUUUCUAUCAGAGAGAGAUGCCAAAGUUGUUGUUGUCUUUUUAUAAAAAAAAAUAGAGAUUGUCAGUUUUGCAAAACUGGUUUCUAAUAUGACCCUGCUAGCAUCUUCACUCUUGCUUCUGGUGCUCCUGAUAGCAAGCACUAGGGGAGAUGCGACAAUCUCAUUCGUCCAGCCUCCCUCCGUGUCGGCAACCCUGGGAAAAGCCAUUCAGAUCCCUUGCACCCUUUCCGGCGACACCAUCACAACUCACACCAUAAGCUGGUUUCAGUAUCAGCUGCCAAACCCUCCCAGAUAUCUCUUGUAUUAUAAAGAUGAAUCCAAUCAAGGGAGGAAAACCAGUGUCUCCGAUAGAUUUGGGGCUUCCAAAGAUGCCGGCCUGAACGCCUGUUAUCUAACCAUCUCGGAGGUCCAAGCAGCCGACGAAGCCGCCUAUUAUUGCCUAUCUUCCACGGGUUCAGAAUACCACUGUGCUACACACUAUGGAGUGACGAAAACAAAACUCCUACCCCCUUGGGGAAUUCGUUCACAACAGCUGGUAAGAGACGGCUGGCCGAUGGAUUCAGCUUAAGGCCUGAAGAGGUUCCCCAGCUCUGAUCUGUAACGGAGUUAAUUUGGGAAGCCAGUUGGCAGAACUUGUAAUUCAGAGGUGGGGUUGGACUACACACA